AUGCUUGAAUCUUUCAAGGACUCAUUGAAAAAUAGUUUUUCUAUGAAGGAGUUGGGAGAAGCAGCUUACAUUUUGGGAAUCAAGAUCUAUAGAGAUAGAUCGAGAAGGCUUAUUGGAUUAAGCCAGAGUGCCUAUAUUGAUAAGGUGUUGAAGCGGUUCAACAUGCAAGAUGCCAAGAAAGAUUUCUUGCCCAUGUCACAUGGCAUUAGUCUUAGCAAGACUCAGAGUCCUACGACUCCUGAUGAGCGAAGACGCAUGGAUGGGAUUCCGUAUGCUUCGGCUGUUGGGUCCAUCAUGUAUGCUAUGGUAUGUACUCGUCCUGAUGUUAGUUUUGCUCUUAGCGUGGUGUGCAGAUACCAGGCUGAUCCAGGGGAGAGUCACUGGACAGCGGUUAAGAAUAUCCUUAAGUACUUGAGAAGGACUAAGGAUAUGUUCCUGGUUUAUGGAGGUGAGGAUGAGCUCCUUGUAAAUAGUUACACCGAUGCUAGUUUCCAAACAGAUAGGGAUGAUAGUCGAUCGCAAUCUGGGUUUGUGUUCAUUCUGAACGGAGGAGCAGUGAGCUGGAGGAGCUCCAAGCAAGAUACUGUAGCUGAUUGUACAACAGAGGCCGAGUACAUUGCAGCUUCUGAAGCUGCAAAAGAAGGUGUUUGGGUGAAGAAUUUUAUUUCUGAUCUUGGUGUGGUUGAGGGCGCGUCUAAUCCAUUGGACCUCUAUUGUGAUAAUAGUGGUGCCAUUGCGCAAGUCAAGGAACCACGGAACCAUCAUAAAACCCAACACAUACUCAGGCGUUUUAACCUUAUUCGCGACAUUGUCGAAAGAGGUGAUGUAAACAUAUGCAAGGUACACACGGAUGCAAAUGUUGCUAAUCCAUUGGCGAAGGCUCUCCCACGUCCGAAGCAUGAGGCGCACAUGAGCUCCAUGGGCAUACGAUGCCUAAAU
rnacentral:rRNA from 1 species